rnacentral:rRNA from 1 species
AGGAUGAACGCUAGCGGCAGGCUUAACACAUGCAAGGUCGAGGGGUAGAGGAAGCUUGCUUCCUUGAGACCGGCGCACGGGUGCGUAACGCGUAUGCAAUCUACCUUAUACAGGGGAUAGCCCAGAGAAAUUUGGAUUAAUACCCCAUAGUAUAAUUGAAUGGCAUCAUUUAAUUAUUAAAGUUCCAACGGUAUAAGAUGAGCAUGCGUCCCAUUAGCUAGUUGGUGUGGUAACGGCACACCAAGGCGACGAUGGUAGGGGUCCUGAGAGGGAGAUCCCCCACACUGGUACUGAGACACGGACCAGACUCCUACGGGAGGCAGCAGUGAGGAAUAUUGGUCAAUGGGCGCAAGCCUGAACCAGCCAUGCCGCGUGCAGGAUGACGGUCCUAUGGAUUGUAAACUGCUUUGUACAGGAAGAAACACUCCCUCGUGAGGGAGCUUGACGGUACUGUAAGAAUAAGGAUCGGCUAACUCCGUG